GGAGCACUAUAUAGCAGAUAAGAAUUAUAGAAUAGUACAGCAGAUAAACAAAGAGGCCUGAAGAGCGCUGAAAUAAAGUUGAAGUGCGCCAUGCUCCAGAAUCCAGUCUGAGUUCAUCUGCUAGAAACGACCCGAGGAUGAAGAAGUAUAAACCAGAUCUAUAUAUUUAUAAAAUUAAACCAAAAUAAAAAAUUAAAGCCUUCUGGUGUUACUAAUUAAUUAAUCGAUCAUUUGGUCUCGUUUCGUUUCAUAACUAUUGAAGAAUGUGCUAAAUUAAUUAAGGCAAUGUGAUACCGGUCGUUCUCGGAUGCUUCUGUAUGAUGUUUUACGGUUCAAAGGCGAUGAUGCAGUAGAACGAUUCUGUGAAGCUCUUAUGACUUCAGAUCAGCAGCGCAUUGUAAAAGAGAUUAUGAAGAAAGACGGUAUGGUGGCUAGAUUCCACCAGGAGUACAACGGAAGGUACAAAGUACCUGCAAGUGGCGGCAGAGAAAAAGACGAACGCCACGCUCGUCAAGUAGGAGUACCGUGCGAGACAGUGGGAUGAGCCACGGAUCUAGAUCACGUCACUUAGAAAUUGUGGAGAGUCCAGGAAAACGUACAAAAGUUGGUGCAAGGGCAUUCUCAUCAUCUGGAGAAGAAAAGUCACCAGAUGAAUGUCCUCAUCAGGACUGCAAUGGCUCGGCAGCACAUGACGAAGAAAUUGAGAGUUUGCAGAAAGAAGUUGGGCUGUUGCAGGAUCUGCUGGAUGUUUGGACAGAGAAAAGAGAGCAGCGGUUAAAGAUCAGAGACAACGAGCUGAUGUGGCUGAGUGUGAGUGGAAGAACGAAAAAGUGUUGAGGAAAGGAGUAGAGCUCACCAAUUUCACCAUGAGACUGGAACUUCUUCAACAAGGCGAGAUCAAUGACAGUCUCCCAUCAUGGACACAGUGGAAUGUACACCUGCCUGAAGACAGUUGGACGUAUAAUAGAAUGGGCGACAUUGAAGGCCGACUAGUGGUAGGAGGUUUGUAUGUCAAUCUGCAUGUUCUCAGUGCUAAACGCGACGAUAAGUGGGACACGUUUGUUUCAUCAAGAAUGUAGUGUGUCAUCAAGGUGUGUGUCUGAUGUGUGUGUGUCUGAUAAAGAUAACUAGAAGAUCAGAUGUGAUAUAUAUUGAACAAUUUCGUUUAAAUGAAGACAAAA